rnacentral:rRNA from 1 species
AUCGAUGAAGAACGCAGCGAAAUGCGAUAAGUAAUGUGAAUUGCAGAAUUCAGUGAAUCAUCGAAUCUUUGAACGCACCUUGCGCUCUAUGGUAUUCCGUAGAGCAUGCCUGUUUGAGUGUCAUGAAAACUAUCAACCUCGUCUUGGGUUUUAAUACUCGGGAUGAGGCUUGGACUUGGGUGUUUGCCACUUGACCAGUGGCUCACCUUGAAUCUAUUAGCUGGACUUGUUUGUGAAGACUGGUUUAACUUGGCGUAAUAAGUAUUUCGCUGAGGACAUCUCUCAGGGUGGCCAUUUUCGCAACGGUUGUCUGCUCUCUAACCAGUUUCAAAACCUGUCUUUGGAUGGGUGCAUGACUCUUUCUAUUAUUUGGCCUCAAAUCAGGUAGGACUACCCGCUGAACUUAAGCAUAUCAAUAAGCGGAGGAAAAGAAACUAACAAGGAUUCCCCUAGUAACGGCGAGUGAAGCGGGAAGAGCUCAAAUUUGAAAUCUGGUGGCCUCAGGUCAUCCGAGUUGUAAUCUAUAGAAACAUUUUCCGUGCUGGCUCAUGUACAAGUCCCUUGGAAUAGGGCGUCAUAGAGGGUGAGAAUCCCGUCCUUGACAUGAACCCCCAGUGCUCUGUGAUAUGUUUUCAAUGAGUCGAGUUGUUUGGGAAUGCAGCUCAAAAUGGGUGGUAAAUUCCAUCUAAAGCUAAAUAUUGGCGAGAGACCGAUAGCGAACAAGUACCGUGAGGGAAAGAUGAAAAGCACUUUGGAAAGAGAGUUAAACAGUAUGUGAAAUUGUUGAAAGGGAAACGAUUGAAGUCAGUCAUGUCUAGGGAAUUCAGCUGGUUCUGCCAGUGUACUUUCCUUGGAUGGGGUCAACAUCAGUUUUGACUGCUGGAUAAAGGGCAGAGGAAUGUAGCACUCUCGGGUGAACUUAUAGCCUUUGUUCGCAUACAGUGGUUGGGACUGAGGAACGCAGCUUGCCUUUAUGGCCGGGAUUCGUCCACGUACAAGCUUAGGAUGUUGACAUAAUGGCUUUAAACGACCCGUCUUGAAACACGG